rnacentral:rRNA from 1 species
GACGAACGCUGGCGGCGUGCUUAACACAUGCAAGUCGAACGGAAAGGCCCUGCUUUUGUGGGGUGCUCGAGUGGCGAACGGGUGAGUAACACGUGAGUAACCUGCCCUUGACUUUGGGAUAACUUCAGGAAACUGGGGCUAUACCGGGAAAGGAGUUCUGCUUCAAUGGUGGGGGUUGGAAGGUUUCGGCGGUUGGGGAUGGACUCGCGGCUUAUCAGCUUGUUGGUGGGGUAGUGGCUUACCAAGGCUUUGACGGGUAGCCGGCCUGAGAGGGUGACCGGCCACAUUGGGACUGAGAUACGGCCCAGACUCCUACGGGAGGCAGCAGUGGGGAAUAUUGCACAAUGGGCGGAAGCCUGAUGCAGCAACGCCGCGUGCGGGAUGACGGCCUUCGGGUUGUAAACCGCUUUCGCCUGUGACGAAGCGUGAGUGACGGUAAUGGGUAAAGAAGCACCGGCUAACUACGUG